rnacentral:rRNA from 1 species
UGAAGUAAGUAAGGGCACGCGGUGGAUGCCUAGGCGGAAGGCGCCGAUGAAGGACGUGGCAGGCUGCGAUAAGCCUCGGGGAGCUGCGAGCGAGCAUUGAUCCGGGGAUUUCCGAAUGGGGCAACCACCAGGUAUUUUAAGGACCUGGAGCGUAGCAUGAAUACAUAGUGUUACGCAGACAACCCGGCGAAGUGAAACAUCUCAGUAGCCGGAGGAACAGAAAUCAACCGAGAUUCCCCAAGUAGUGGCGAGCGAACGGGGAUUAGCCCAAACCUUGUGGACGUGAUAGGCUGCCGCCGUUGUUCACCUGGUGUUGUAGGGCCUACCGUGGGUGUUCGGCAGGGCGCUCCGGGAGUCAGAAACCUGUGUUUUAGCCGAAGUUGCCUGGAAAGGCGCGCAGUAUGGAGUGAUAGCCUCGUAGGUGAAAAGGCACAGGCUUCCGUGGUAGGUACCUGAGUACCGCGGGACACGUGAAACCCCGUGGGAAUCUGGGAGGACCAUCUUCCAAGGCUAAAUACGACCUUCCGACCGAUAGUGGGUAGUACCGUGAGGGAAAGCGUGAAAAGAACCCCGGGAGGGGAGUGAAAUAGAACCUGAAACCGCGUGCUUACGAGCCGUGAGAGGCCUAUGGUUUUUGUGCCUGGCUGAUCGCGUGCCUUUUGUAGAAUGAGCCGGCGACUUACUGUUACGGGCGAGGUUAAGGGCUUUAGAGUCUGUAGCCGUAGCGAAAGCGAGUCUUAAUAGGGCGUUUAGUCCGUGGUAGUAGACCCGAAGCCAGGUGACCUAUCCAUGGUCAGGGUGAAGCGCAUUUAAUCGUGCGUGGAGGCCCGAACCGGUUGUUGUUGCAAAAACUUCGGAUGAACUGUGGAUAGCGGUGAAAUGCCAAUCGAACCUGGUGAUAGCUGGUUCUCCCCGAAAUAGCUUUAGGGCUAGCGUCGGGUGUUGAGUCCUGGGGGUAGAGCACUGACAGAGCUAGGGGCCCUGACAGGUUACUGAACUCCAUCAAACUCCGAAUACCAGGAUGAAUUGCCCGGCAGUCAGACUGUGGGGGAUAAGCUUCAUUGUCGAGAGGGAAACAGCCCAGACCGACCGUUAAGGUCCCUAAAUUCCAGCUAAGUGGAGAAGGAAGUAUGGCUUCAUUGACAGCCAGGAGGUUGGCUUAGAAGCAGCCACCCUUUAAAGAGUGCGUAAUAGCUCACUGGUCGAUGUUGCCGUGCGCCGAAAAUGUAACGGGGCUUAAGCUGGGUACCGAAGCGUCGGGUUGUCAGUUUUUUUUAUCUGGCAGCGGUAGGGGAGCGUUCCGUAGGCCUGUGAAGGGGUAUCGUGAGGAGCCCUGGAGGUAUCGGAAGUGCGAAUGCCGGCAUGAGUAGCGUAAAGAGGAGUGAGAAUCUUCUCCGCCGUAAGUCUGAGGUUUCCUGGGGAAGGAUUGUCCUCCCAGGGUAAGGCGGGACCUAAGCUGAGGGCGAAGGCCGUAGGCGAUGGACAGCCGGUUCAUAUUCCGGCCCCGCGGACGUUCGUUAUGAGCGAUGGAGUGACGCAGUAGGGUAGGUUUACCCGGCGCUGGUAGUCCGGGUCUAAGCUUGUAGGGUGCUUGGGGAGGCAAAUCCCCCUGAGCUAUAGCCUGAGAGGUGAAUGCGAGGGACUGAGGUCUCGAAGUAACUGAUCCCACACUGCCUGGAAAAACUUCUAGUCAGAGCGUUCGUGCCCGUACCGUAAUCCGACACUGGUAGACAGGUAGAGAAUACCGAGGCGGCGAGUUAAUCCCUCUUAAGGAACUCGGCAAAUUGGCCCCGUAACUUUGGGAUAAGGGGUGCCCUGGCUGGUGAUGCGGCUUGCCCGUUGAGCUGGUUGGGGCCGCAGCGAAUAGGCCCAACCGACUGUUUAACACAAACACAGGUCUCUGCCAAGCCGUAAGGCGAUGUAUAGGGGCUGACGCCUGCCCGGUGCUGGAACGUUAAGAGGAGAGCUCAGGAUUUUUAUCCGAAGGCUUGAAUCGAAGCGCCAGUAAACGGCGGCCGUAACUAUAACGGUCCUAAGGUAGCGAAAUUCCUUGUCGGGUAAGUUCCGACCUGCACGAAUGGCGUAACGAGUUGGGCACUGUCUCAAGAGGGAUCUCGGCGAAAUUGCAAACUCUGUGAAGAUGCAGAGUACCCGCAGCAAGACGGUAAGACCCCGUGGAGCUUUACUGUAGCUUGAUGUUGGAGCUUGGUUACUUUUGUACAGGAUACGUGGGAGGCUUUGAUGUGUGGCCGCCAGGUUACGCGGAGCCUAUCUUGGGAUACCACGCUGGAGUGGCUGGGUUUCUAACCUGUGAUGUGAUCCAUUUCAGGGACAGCGUCUGGUGGGCAGUUUGACUGGGGCGGUUGCCUCCUAAAGGGUAACGGAGGCGCUCAAUGGUUUCCUCAGGCUGGUUGGGAAUCAGCCGUAGAGUGUAAGCGCACAAGGGAGCUUGACUGCAAGACGUACAUGUCGAGCAGAGUGGAAACACGGAGCUAGUGAUCCGGCGGUUCCGCAUGGAAGGGCCGUCGCUUAUCGGAUAAAAGCUACCCCGGGGAUAACAGGCUUAUCACGCCCAAGAGUCCAUAUCGACGGCGUGGUUUGGCACCUCGAUGUCGGCUCAUCGCAUCCUGGGGCUGAA